GUUGAUCGAAAAUCUGCCCAGCUUUGGCCAUGGCUGUGGGUGAGAUUCGGCGCCCAAAGCUACCAGCAACCGCAGCUCACCUCACGCUGCUUGUGGUUGGGGGUGGAGAUAAAACCCAGGCCCCGAUAGAA
ensembl:snoRNA